rnacentral:rRNA from 1 species
UACGUAGGGUGCAAGCGUUGUCCGGAAUUAUUGGGCGUAAAGAGCUCGUAGGCGGUUCGUCGCGUCGGCUGUGAAAACCCGGAGCUCAACUCCGGGCCUGCAGUCGAUACGGGCGGACUAGAGUUCGGCAGGGGAGACUGGAAUUCCUGGUGUAGCGGUGAAAUGCGCAGAUAUCAGGAGGAACACCGGUGGCGAAGGCGGGUCUCUGGGCCGACACUGACACUGAGAGACGAAAGCUAGGGGAGCGAAUGGG